CCUACGGGGGGCAGCAGUGAGGAAUAUUGGUCAAUGGGCGAGCGCCUGAACCAGCCAAGUCGCGUGAGGGAAGACGGUCCUAUGGAUUGUAAACCUCUUUAGGCGGGGAGCAAUGCCGGGCACGCGUGCCCGGAGUGAGAGUACCCGCAGAAUAAGCAUCGGCUAACUCCGUGCCAGCAGCCGCGGUAAUACGGAGGAUCCGAGCGUUAUCCGGAUUUAUUGGGUUGAAAGGGAGCGUAGGCGGGUGGUUAAGUCAGUGGUGAAAGUUUGCGGCUCAACCGUAAAAUUGCAGUUGAAACUGGCAGUCUUGAGUACAGUAGAGGUGGGCGGAAUGCGUGGUGUAGCGGUGAAAUGCUGAGAUAUCACGAAGAAAUCCGAUUGCGAAGGCAGCGCACUGGACUGCAACUGACACUGAGGCUCGAAAGUGUGGGUAUCAAACAGGAUUAGAUACCCGGGUAGUC
rnacentral:rRNA from 1 species